UACGUAGGGCGCAAGCGUUGUCCGGAAUUAUUGGGCGUAAAGAGCUCGUAGGCGGCUUGUCACGUCGGGUGUGAAAGUCCGGGGCUCAACCCCGGAUCUGCCGUGCCGACUGUCAAACUCGAGGGCUGUAGAGGCAGACGGAAUUCCAGGUGUAGCGGUGAAAUGCGUAGAUAUCUGGAGGAACACCGGUGGCGAAGGCGGCAUCCUGGACCAACACUGACACUGAUGAGCGAAAGCCAGGGGAGCAAACGGG
rnacentral:rRNA from 1 species